CUGGUGUAUUAGUAGUACCGAUAUGAUCGCACCUUAUUUUUAUUUUUCCAUUUAAAACAAGAAGAUUUUGUUAAUUACUUACCAUACUGAGCUUGGAGAGUUUAUCCAAAGAGGGAAUUCCUCCAUUGCAUACCCUUUUAACCUCAUCUCUAACUUUUUCUUGCCAAGAUGGAUUACUUGCUAGUAACAUAACUGUCCAAGUGAGUAAAAGCGCUGUUGUUUCAUGACCAGAAAAGAAAAAUGUUUUGCAUUCAUCCAUCACUAAUUGCAAAUUUAAACUAGUUUCCUUCUUUUGCAUCUCAUUCAAUAGUAUACCCAAUAAAUCAUUCCCAUAAGAAUUGCUUCUUCCAAUCUCAACACAAUCUUUUCUGCUUUGUAUUAUUUCCAUUAAUAAUCUCUCCACUUCCAUCUUCAAUGACUUUAUUUCUCUAUUGUACUUGCUUGGAAAAAACCUAUGUACACCAAUUGAAUCUUAGAGGAUUUUGACAUCAAUGAAAAGAAGAAGAAAAAAAAAACAUGAAUGUGAUGAUUAGGACAUGCAUUGAAUGCUUGUUGGUAAAAAAAUAGAUUUUAUUGAACCUUAAAAAAAAUCUCAUAGUUGCAAGAGUUUAACAUUAUAAUCUUAAUAGAUCGAGUUCAAA
rnacentral:lncRNA from 1 species